AUUGAACGCUGGCGGCAUGCUUUACACAUGCAAGUCGAACGGCAGCGGGUCCUUCGGGAUGCCGGCGAGUGGCGUACGGGUGAGUAAUGCAUCGGAACGUACCCAGUCGUGGGGGAUAACGCAGCGAAAGUUGUGCUAAUACCGCAUACGACCUGAGGGUGAAAGUGGGGGACCGGUAACGGCCUCACGCGAUUGGAGCGGCCGAUGUCUGAUUAGCUAGUUGGUGGGGUAAAGGCCCACCAAGGCGACGAUCAGUAGCGGGUCUGAGAGGAUGAUCCGCCACACUGGGACUGAGACACGGCCCAGACUCCUACGGGAGGCAGCAGUGGGGAAUUUUGGACAAUGGGGGCAACCCUGAUCCAGCCAUGCCGCGUGCGGGAAGAAGGCCUUCGGGUUGUAACCGCUUUCGGACGGAAAGAAAUCGCAUGGGUUAAUACCCUGUGUGGAUGACGGUACCGUAAGAAGAAGCACCGGCUAACUACGUGCCAGCAGCCGCGGUAAUAC
rnacentral:rRNA from 1 species